UAAUAUACGUAAGCGGCUGGGCAUAUAUAUAUGCUACGAGGCGAGAGCUAUCGAGUUAUCAGCGGAUACUCUCAGGUUGUAUUACCAACCUAAAUAUUACUUACAAAUUAACAAAAAAGUAAUUAGUAAUUUCC
rnacentral:ncRNA from 3 species